rnacentral:lncRNA from 1 species
AUGGUUUCAAUGGUGACUUUUAAGGCGUGCGUGUUUCAAAGCCACGGGCACCUCUCCUCUCGGGGACGGGGGAGAAACGGGGUGCAGAUGAAGCAGGGGCGUCCCGGGGGAACCCUGGCCCCGUCCCCAGGCCCCCGGGUGAGGAGGACCACCGGGCGGGGGCUUUUCCCGGGACGGGCCUGGAGCGCGGGGGGCGCACUCGGGGGCCGCACUCGGGGGCCGCGCAGGUCCAGGGGCGACGGGAGGCGGUCACCCCCGAGGGCGCGCUCACGCCCCGGCUUCCGCGGGCGGCAGGUCCCGGGCUGCAGGGAGAGGCCCACCUGCCCUGGACGGCCGGGCGGACCCGCGCCCGCGCCCCCGCGCCCCGCACCCCGCGCCCCGCACCCCGUCCGGGCGCAGGGGGCACCCGGUGAAGGCGGCGCCAACCUGCACCGGGAAGCGCAGAGGCAGCGCUUUGGGCUUGUUUGGAAAGAAACUGCGAGGCCGAGGCCGGUGUCAGCUGGAAGUGGAUCCUCUCCCGCUGGCUGGACGGACCCCGAGGGGGCGGCGCAGCUCCCCGCGGCCUGCCUGGAGGCGGAGGCGGUGUGCGCAGAGCAGAGGUGCCCCCGGGCCGCUGGGUCCCCGCCGGCUGCCCUCCUCCCGCGGGACGCCACUCCCCAGACUCCCCGGACUCCCGGCCGCGCUCCGGGGCUCGCACGGCCUGCACACACGGCACACACGGCACACACGGCACACACGGCACACACAGCGCACACCAGCUCAGACACAGCGCACACGCACGCACACACCCAGCGCCACACGCCAUGCACACACGCCACAGCACCACGCACACAGCCACACAGCACACCAGCGCGCACACGCCACAUGCACACAGCGCACACAGCACACAGCACCACACAGCACACCACAUGCACACAGCACACACACAGAGUAUACACACACACCACAGCGCACACACACACCACACGUACCACACAUCACACACCACACACACAUCACGCCUGUACCACACACCACACAGACACAAGAUACACAUCACACACCACACACACGCACCACACAUAA